rnacentral:rRNA from 1 species
GUAGGGAAUAUUGGGAAAUGGGCGAAAGCCCGACCCAGCAACGCCGCGUGUGCGAUGAAGGCCUUCGGGUUGUAAAGCACUUUUCACCGGGAAGAGGAAGGACGGUACCGGUGGAAUAAGCCUCGGCUAACUACGUGCCAGCAGCCGCGGUAAAACGUAGGAGGCGAGCGUUAUCCGGAUUUACUGGGUGUAAAGCGCGUGCAGGCGGACGGGUAAGUUGGGUGUGAAAGCUCCCGGCUCAACUGGGAGAGGUCGCUCAAGACUGCCGGUCUAGAGCGUGGUAGAGGAAGGUGGAAUUCCGGGUGUAGUGGUGAAAUGCGUAGAUAUCCGGAGGAACACCAGUGGCGAAAGCGGCCUUCUGGGCCACGACUGACGCUCAGACGCGAAAGCUAGGGUAGCAAACGGGAUUAGAAACCCGAGUAGUCC